GGCUGCGCCCAAUAGACCCUUAACACCACCACAACACCCUCCUAGAGGGCCGCGACCCUCGAGAUAAGGGAGACAAGGAGCCAAGCCAGACGUAACCUCGCCGCAGCUCAGUGACUCUGCAUGGGGUGCAACCACCACCAUGCAAAAAACCACAAAGCAUGCAAUUUUUCCAAACAUUUCCAUUCUUAUAAAAAAAUUGAGUAAAGAUUAUAGAUAUAGUAG
rnacentral:misc_RNA from 1 species